AGUUACUGUAUUAAUCUUUACAGUUAUAGUUAGUAAGUAAAGAAAUAAGACGAUUCCUGGAUUUAUACUUUGGAUCAUAAGAUGUCCGAUUAAUGAGAAUCUAACAAAAGAUAUUAAACGGAAGAAGCCGCAACAUAAGUGAUUAUUAAGGGAGAAUGAAUCGCUCAAUAAUCAUCAUACUUGUUAUGAUAGCUACUGUCAAUACACAGUCGACACAAGGUACAUAUUUUGUUUCACAAACAUUUCAAGUAUAGUAGGGUAGAGGAAAAUGGGACACAUUUUCAUUUUAUUUAUCGUCACAUUUUGUAGUAAACAAAAAGCAUUCAAAGAUUUAUAAAACCGUAUCCUCACGACUCCCAUAAAACGUUAUUAAUGGUUUGAAACCUAAUCAGGAUAUUUGUAUAUUUUGUGUUAAAGGUGUUCCGUCUUCCACCAAAGUAUUCCACAUAAAUGUAGCAACGCUUAAAGAGUAUUUUAAAGUAAAUAUCCGUUCCACAGUUUCUUAACCUUUCAUGGUUUACGGCUCCUUUAGUAGAAACUUAACACCCGUGGCCUCCCCUGCUCCAUCAAUAAAAUAACUGAUAUUUGUUUUAAUAUUUACAUCUGUUAUUUUAUUCACCACUUUGUAGCAGUCUAAACAAACAAGGCCAUGUCUUUCCAUUGCAUCGCAUAAUCGUUAAUGGCUUUCUAUACACAAGUUGGCAACCAGUAUUAAAACUUGGUAUGACAAAAACGCACUGGUGCGUUGCUAAUUAUAAGUGGGUCUAAACCAUAUAUAUCGAAAAGCAUACGCUGCAAUGAAGGAACUAAUAUUCCAAAUAUAUUUUUAAAUGGGGAAUUCUAAAAUACUGCAAUCUUAAACUAAAAAUAAUUGUUAAACUAUUUAAGUUGGAUUGAAAAGAAAAGCAUUAACAUGCAGCCGUAAAAGACCACACCAAAACCAACAAUUAUUUUACACUCAUUUAAACAUGUAGCUUGUUAUUGAAAUAGAAACAACGACACAAGUAACAACUGAUGCGUCGACAACUGCAGCAGAAACAACAACAGAAGUAACAACUGAUGCGUCGACAACUGCAGCAGAAACAACGACACAAGUAACAACCGAUGCGUCGACAACUGCAGCAGAAACAACGACACAAGUAACAACCGAUGCGUCGACAACUGCAGCAGAAACAACAACAGAAGUAACAACCGAUGCGUCGACAACUACAGCAGAAACAACAACAGAAGUAACAACUGAUGCGUCGACAACUGCAGCAGAAACAACAACAGAAGUAACAACUGAUGCGUCGACAACUGCAGCAGAAACAACGACAGAAGUUACAACUGAUGCGUCGACAACUGCAGCAGAAACAACAACAGAAGUAACAACUGAUGCGUCGACAACUGCAGCAGAAACAACAACAGAAGUUACAACUGAUGAGUCGACAACUGCAGCAGAAACAACGACAGAAGUAACAACUGAUGAGUCGACAACUGCAGCAGAAAAAACGACAGAAGUAACAACUGAUGAGUCGACAACUACAGCAGA